AAGAAUUUAAUUAAAACAAAUAAUGUAGUCUUGUCAAGACUAACUUUCCUCAAGGAAUUUCUU
rnacentral:tRNA from 1 species